rnacentral:lncRNA from 1 species
UGCCACGUGGCACACAUUUGGUAGCCACAUCAGAGCUUAACGGAUCAAUAGACGGAAAAUGUAACGAAUAUAUUAUUUUGAAAUAAAAUAGUACGUGAAGUAUGAAAGUGAAAUGUUUUAAAGAUGUUGUAUGGGGUUGUAAUAGACCUCAAACCUGAGGGGCUACUAUGUAAUUUACCCUAGAUAUAACUAUAAGGUAAUUCAAAAUACUUGUACUGAAAACCAAAAUCGAAAAUGAAAGUGGGUUUCGCCCAAGCAUACGUAGCGUCAUGUACUUCGAAAAUAGAUGGGUCUUUGGGUCGAGCCCCAACAAUAACUACUCAGUAACAUCUACCGUAGACGAGUCUACCUGCUCACUUGCAUAGCGAAUCCAAUGAGCCACUGAUAUCACAGUCGACCGCUCGCGAUAUCGACCACACAUUGUUGUUUUGAUAAGCAACCAGUACUUUCCUAAGGGUGCACAAUUACCAUUUUACCACUCAAAGUGAGUGUGCAUUGAUCAUCCGAUUCUUGCCUCGAUCGCGCUAUCGUACUAUUCUAGAGCGCACCAAUCAAAUCUAUUAGAAGUGUUUCGACAUCCACGUACUCACGAACAAUAAGGUCCUGGAAUGAAGCAGUGGAAAGAUACAUAUAUCGUUGGAAAAGAUUCACUAGAGUACGAUAUCAUGUUUAUGAAUUGUAGCAAGAUAAUGAGAGGUGACUAUUUAUUUAUGCAUGAAGAUAGUGAUUGGUGAUGCAAUCUGCUGACCACCUGCACUACAACCUUCAUCAAUCUCUUACCAAAAAAUGGCUCAACCAUCACACUCAUGUAAAACUCUUUCUGGUAAGCUUGUGAAAAUGUUAUGCUCCUAAGGUUCCUGUCUGAAUUGAUAAGAACUGAGCCCAUACUUCAGUUGAGUCAAUCUCUCAUGAAAUCCUUACGGAUUGAGCAAGAAACCAUGUUAAGAAAGCUAAAAGAACAUUCAAGAAUUUGAGGGUCAAAACAAGUCCAUCAAAACUAUAGUACAAGACCGAGGAUACUUCGCAUUUCAGCACACCUUGUGAAGAUUUUCAAUUUCCAACGGCUGUAACAUUUUUGGAAAUUGAUGAGAAUAACGCCUACUACCAAAGAGUCUCCUAAGAAAAGUAUAAAAUCUAAACAAAGUCAACACUCGAAGGAUUUGGUGUGAAGCUGACAGUCGAUAGUUAGGGAACUUGACUUCGUCGUUAGAGUAAGCGAAAAAGUUAUUGAUAGAAAAAUUGUCAGGAAUUGUUCUAAGGAUCCACACGAACUUCCUCAGCGGGAACGAGUCCGAGAACAUUGAUUCGAUCCUACCAAACUACCACUUAGGUUUUUCCGUUUCAUUGCUGAUACGACUGUGCCCGCCAUUCCUAGGGAAUGCAUAUUACAGAGUAUCGGUCCGAUGUUGAAAGUCAUCUAACAAACUAAUUCGUCACUGAUGAGGUACAAUCCCGACAUGAGUUUCUUCUUCCAUAAGAUGUAACUAUUCAUGCAUAAUGAGGGUUGCACAACCAUGCCGAGAGACAACAAAUCUGGAAGUCGUGACAUCCAAAUGAUGUCAUGACUGACAAACUACUAGAGUACGAUGUGAUUCUUAUGUAUGCUCUAAACAACCUCGCUCGCUUUGAUACCAAAUUGACACACCCAACCCCGAUAUCCACUGAUCAAAAGGGUAGGCAUGCUCUAGUCGACACCCGAAGGCGACGAAGACAUACUUACAUGCAUGCGACUAAUGAAUAAAAAUAAAUCUUUUAAAUUAAAAUACAAUGAGUAUGUAGUUAAGGAACAUGUUCAAAGCAUACAACUAAUCUAGAACACUAAAAAGAAUAAUAUAAAAUUGAAUGAACAAAGGAAUGGGUCCUACAUCGAGAAGACUCAAAGAUGCCGAUGCAGAAGUGCCUUGACGCCAGGAUUGUACACCUCAAUUCUAAGUCCUGAGGGGGUGCAAAACAAACAUAAGUGGACCAAGUUGAUAUAUAUAUAUAUAUAUAUAUAUAUAUAUAUAUAUAUAUAUUAUCAACAUACUAACCCCUAAAGUUCAUGAAAACUAAUAGCAUAUUAUGUGAUAGGUUUUCCGAAAACCCUAACAUUCCAUAAAACCUUUCAUAAAACAUAAAUAAGAUAUAGUGUGCUAAUUAGUGGUAUCAUAAUCGCCCGUAGGCAGGACUGCCACGCACCUCUAGGCAGAACAUACGCCCGUAGGCAGGACCGUCAUGCACCCGUAGGUAGAACAUACGCUCGUAGGUAGGACAUACACCCCUAAGCUGGACAGUGACCAUUAGAUACGCACAAAACAUUGAAAAUAAUCUUUCCAACAAAAGUACUUAUAUCCAAGGAAGAAAAUAUCGGUAAUAUCGGAAAUAUCGGUAGUCCGAAAACACGGAAAUAUCGAUGGA